rnacentral:rRNA from 1 species
CUCCUGGGAAGUCCUCGUGUUGCAUCUC